rnacentral:lncRNA from 1 species
AGGAAAAGUUAAAAAAAAAUUUGAAGUGAAAAAGAUAAGAAAAAGGGAAAGAAAAAUAGAAAGGAAGGGAAGAGAGAAAAUGGAAAGCAUGAGAUGCUUGUCCAAAAAUCAGAUUGUUCAUGUAUUGAACAUAAAAUCUGAUUUGUGUGUGGUGAUAUAUUUUAAGAAAGAGUUCCUAAAGAAGUUCUAGUAAAGAUCAUGAAGGCAUACAAGUCAUAGUGCAACUCAUUCUUGCGAAGGACGAUUGGCAGUGCACUUAAGAAGAAAGCUGCAGCACCAUGUC